rnacentral:rRNA from 1 species
GACCUUUAGUUUGAAACCCCGAAACCAGGUGAGCUACCCCGAGACAGCCUAUUAGGGCCAACCCGUCUCUGUGGCAAAAGAGUGGGAAGAGCUCCGGGUAGAAGUGACAGACCUACCGAACCUGGUGAUAGCUGGUUGCCUAAGAAAUGGAUAGAAGUUCAGCCUCGUACUCCCCAAAUCAAGUUAACAUCAACAAGACACCAAGAGAAAUACACGAGAGUUAGUUAAAGGGGGUACAGCCCCUUUGACAAAGGAUACAACCUUUUCAGGAGGAUAAAGAUCAUAAUACAUAAAACAUACUGUUCUAGUGGGCCUAAAAGCAGCCAUCUAAACAGAAAGCGUUAAAGCUCAGACAGAAGAAAGUUUAUUAUUCUGAUAACACAUCUUAUUCCCCUAAACACUAUUAGGCCAACCCAUGCCCACAUGGAAGAGAUUAUGCUAAAAUGAGUAACAAGAAGGCCCGCCCUUCUCCAAGCACAAGUGUAAGCCAAACCGGACUAACCAUUGGCAACUAACGAACUCAACCCAAGAGAGUACUGUGAAUUUCAAAAAAACCAAGAAAAACCCACAACUUAACCAUCGUUACCCCCACACUGGAGUGCAAUAAAGGAAAGACUAAAAGAAAAGGAAGGAACUCGGCAAACACAAGCCUCGCCUGUUUACCAAAAACAUCGCCUCCUGCAACAUAACCAAGUAUAGGAGGUCCAGCCUGCCCAGUGACUACNAGUUCAACGGCCGCGGUAUUUUGACCGUGCAAAGGUAGCGCAAUCACUUGUCUUUUAAAUAGAGACCUGUAUGAAUGGCCAAACGAGGGCUUAACUGUCUCCCCUUUCCAGUCAGUGAAAUUGAUCUACCCGUGCAGAAGCGGGUAUAAUAAUACAAGACGAGAAGACCCUUUGGAGCUUAAGGUACAAAACUCAACCACGUUAAGCAACUCAAUAAAAAGCAAAAACUUUGCGGAACAUGAGAUUUUACCUUCGGUUGGGGCGACCACGGAGGAAAAAAGAGCCUCCAGGUGGACCGGGAAAACUUCCUAAAACCAAGAGAUACAUCUCUAAGCCACAGAACAUCUGACCAAACAUGAUCCGGCUAAUACAAGCCGAUCAACGAACCAAGUUACCCUAGGGAUAACAGCGCAAUCCUCUCCCAGAGUCCAUAUCGACGAGGGGGUUUACGACCUCGAUGUUGGAUCAGGACAUCCUAAUGGUGCAGCCG